UGGAGGGCGGCGCUUGCGGGGACCGGGCUGCUCCGGGCCCUGGGGACCCCUGCGCUUCGCUCACUCCUCCCCCGCCGGGGCUCCGCGGGCCAGCGCUGCGGCCGCCAGGGUGCGCCCCCCCGCCCCGCCCCGCCCCGCCGCCGUCCCCGGCCCGCUCCGCCCGAGCCCCCCCUCGCCGCGCUGCGCGCUCCGCCCGAGCCGCCGCCGCCGCCGCCGCGUGCUCCCGCUGUCUCCUCGCUCCAGCCGAGCGAGCCGGAGGAGCCGGGGAGAGGGAGAGAGCGAAAGGGGGAGGAGAGAGGGAGAAGGAGGGCGGGAGGGAGGGGAGCAGAGGGAGAGGAGGCGGCGGCGAGCAGGAGCGAGCGCGGAGCGCCGAGCCGCGGGGCAGCUCCGGAGCCGGGAGCCUCCUCGGACAGCCGCCCGCCCCGGCCCGGCCCGGCCCCGCUCCAGCGCCCGCCCGCUCGGAGGACACGCGGCCGCCGCCGCCGAGCCCGGCCCGCGCCCCUCGCCGCCCGCUCCGCUGCCCGCUCGGGGCCGGGAUGCAGCCGGGGCAUGGCCGCCGGGCACCGGUCACCUGCCGCGGGGAGCGCUGAGCCCAGCCUGCUGGUGCUGUUCCCCUGUUUCCUCUGCUGGCCCUCAGGACCGGAGCCGCCUGGCCGGAGGACACGUGCUGGGCCAGAGCAGAUGACCGUCUGUCCAGGGCGGAGCCUGGAUGCGUGCCUGGCGCGGGCAGCCGUCCCGUUGCUGCCCCUCCCUCCUCUUGUCACUUGACAAAUCAAGACACAAAAGGAAAACUGACGCUGGUAGGAGACGCAGUCGUAUCACAGAGUUCUCUAAAGCGGUCAGGCCACCCUGGUUCCCAGAAAUUAGAUUAUUUAGAAUUCCAUCACAUUAAGGGAGGAUUCCUCUCCGAUUCUGUCUCCCUGCCCCUUCCUCUUUCUAGCCCUCUCUCUGCCUGCCCCCCCUGGACCCCUCCCGGCCGAUGAAAGAUUUUCUGGCGGUGUCAAGGAAAUGUGACCUGGUUCUGUAAUAAAGAGGAGGCUUAUUAGAAUUAAGGCCUAACA
rnacentral:lncRNA from 12 species